rnacentral:rRNA from 1 species
CUGGCGGCGUGCCUAAUACAUGCAAGUCGAGCGAAUGGAUUGAGAGCUUGCUCUCAAGAAGUUAGCGGCGGACGGGUGAGUAACACGUGGGUAACCUGCCCAUAAGACUGGGAUAACUCCGGGAAACCGGGGCUAAUACCGGAUAAUAUUUUGAACUGCAUGGUUCGAAAUUGAAAGGCGGCUUCGGCUGUCACUUAUGGAUGGACCCGCGUCGCAUUAGCUAGUUGGUGAGGUAACGGCUCACCAAGGCAACGAUGCGUAGCCGACCUGAGAGGGUGAUCGGCCACACUGGGACUGAGACACGGCCCAGACUCCUACGGGAGGCAGCAGUAGGGAAUCUUCCGCAAUGGACGAAAGUCUGACGGAGCAACGCCGCGUGAGUGAUGAAGGCUUUCGGGUCGUAAAACUCUGUUGUUAGGGAAGAACAAGUGCUAGUUGAAUAAGCUGGCACCUUGACGGUACCUAACCAGAAAGCCACGGCAA